ACCGGGCUGGCAGGACGGCGGCGGCGACUGGCCCGCGGGCCGGCCCCGGCGCGAGGGGAGCGGCUGGGAGCGCCCCGUUUCUCACAGACCCCAACAUGGCGUCGGCCGCCACCGCCCGCGACGACAACACCUCCCGGCGCCGCGACGGCUCCGGGACCGCGGGAGGAAGCGCCCGGAAAGUUUCACGUCUCCCCUCCCGGCCCGCCAGGAGCCGGCGGACCACCCACUUGGGCUUCACCUACCCCGACGGCCGCAGGCGGCGGCGGCAGCGAAGGCGAAGGUCCGAUCCUCCUCGUCGCGGACGCAGGGCGCGGACUCUGCCGGUUCCCCGCCCGGGCCUUCCAGGGUGUGUGCGGUCCGCAGCCCCACUCAGCCGGCGCGAUCCAGACGCGGUGGGCGGGCCGGACUCCAGCGCAGCCUCUCGCAGCUGGAAGCCUGAGAUAACUGGUGGUCUCUGGUGGUGGCCCAGAAGAAAGAAUGUACUCUGAAAGAGAAACCAG
rnacentral:lncRNA from 1 species